GACAGAGGGUGCAAACGUUUGUUCGGAAUUACUGGGCGUAAAGCGCGUGUAGGCGGCUGCGCAAGUCGGAUGUGAAAUCCCAUGGCUCAACCAUGGAAGUGCACCCGAAACUGCGUAGCUAGAGUCUCGGAGAGGAAGGCGGAAUGCUUGGUGUAGAGGUGAAAUUCGUAGAUAUCAAGCGGAACACCGGUGGCGAAGGCGGCCUUCUGGACGAUGACUGACGCUGGAGACGCGAAAGCCGUGGGGAGCAAACAGG
rnacentral:rRNA from 1 species